rnacentral:misc_RNA from 1 species
UUUUCUUCACUCCAACCUUCAUCGUGUGAAAUUUGUUCGCGGGUCGGUUUUUCGCUAAAUUACCCACAAAAAGUGCAUCAAUUCGGGACGAAAGUGUUUGCGUUCGACAGUCGACGUCGCGCUUUACAAAAGUUGCUAGUUUUUGUGCCGGAAGUCGUGUUUUCCGUGGAGGAAAAGUGAUUUUUUUCUGGGACUCGCCCAGGUGCCUCAUUAAAUUUGGCCGUGGAAGAAAGAAAAAAGACUGCCCGUAGUCGGAGAAACAGCAGCAGCAGCAAGUAGAAGAAGAAGCGCAAACCCCCCCGAAACUCGAGGAUGGGUCGCAAGAAGAAGAAGGCGUCCAAGCCCUGGUGCUGGUACUGCAACCGCGAGUUCGACGACGAGAAGAUUCUGGUGCAGCACCAGAAGGCCAAACACUUCAAGUGUCACAUCUGCCACAAGAAGCUGUACACGGGCCCCGGAUUGUCGAUCCACUGCAUGCAGGUGCACAAGGAGUCGAUCGACAAGGUGCCCAACUCGCUGCCCAACCGGUCUAACAUCGAGAUCGAAAUCUACGGCAUGGAGGGCAUCCCGCCGGACGACAUUCGGGAGCACGAGCGGCAAAAGAACGGAAACGGCGGGGGUGGAGGUGGAGGUGGGGGAGGCGGAGGAUCUGGAGCGGGGGGAAAUAGGUCUGAUUCGGACGACGAUGAACCGGUUGGGAAGAAGCCAAAGGCGGAAGCUCCCGUUUCACAAGGCCUGGUGAUGCCUCCGAACAUGAUGACGCCGCACCUGCCCUACGGAAUGAACCCGAUGAUGGCGGCCCAGAUGGGCCACAUGCCGUACAUGGUCCCGUCCGGGAUGCCCGGCAUGAUGCAGCAGAUGAUGGGUGGUCACCCGAGGCCACUGUUCCCGGCUGCGGCGUCCGCCACGACCAUCUCCGCAAACCCCGCAAUCAACAAGGCGACCUUCCCCGCGUACAGCAGUGCGACGAUCAGCGCGCCACCGACGACAAACUCGGCGAACGCGGCCAACGCCAACGCGGUCGGCGGGGACGCCGCCAAAUCCGCCGCCUCCUCUGUGAUACCGGUGACCGGGACGACGUCCAAGAUCGUGCACCCGCCGGAGGACCUCAGUCUGGAGGAGAUCCGGGCGCGCAAACCGCAGUACCAGAAGAAGAUCAGCCUGGCGACGCAGCAGCUGCUCCAGCAGAAGCACCAGGAAAAGCAGCAACAGCACGCGGCUGCAGCCGUGGCGGCGGCCAACGCGGCCGUCCAGCAGCAGCACGUCCAGCAGAUGCAGGCCGCCGCCGCGCAACACCAAGCGCAGCAGGCGGCCGCCUUCAAGGCGUUCUCGUCGGCAGCCGCCGUCAGCGGGACGAACACGAUAGUCACGAGCGGACCGGGCAAGGACAGCCGGCUAAUGUCGCCCCACGAGCAGCAGGCAGCGGUCAUAGCCCACGCCCAGGCUGCCGCCGCCAACCACCAAAAGCAGAUCGACGAACUGAACCGGGCCGCGAUGAUCCAACGGAUACAGGCGGCCAACCAAGCGGCGGCCGUCUCAGCAGCGGCCGCCGCCCGACCCGGAGUACCGAUUGGAAUGGUACCGAUGUCGUUAAAUCCCCAGAUGCAACUGAUGCCUCCGAUGAUGCGACAAGGGUUGGCGAUCGGUCCGCCCGGUGCCGCCCUCAUCGGAGGAAACAUGCUCCGCCCGGGUCAUCCGCAAAUGGGCAUUGGUCCAGGAAUUAUUUGAGUAAAUCUUCCACCCUUUUUCGCACAUCUGUAACGGGCAAACGCGCGUCCAGAAGCGGCUGACAAAAGAAAAAAAAACAUUUUCUACCACUAUUGAACAAAAAUGCCAAAAAAUACGAACUUACGCCCACACCCUCUAUUUGAUCCAUCAAAUCUACUACUACAUCAAAUCUACUACCACCACCAGAACAGUGAAAACAGACAUACUUCGAAAACACCCCAACUCCAUUUGUUGCAGCCAUGUGGCCUCGUACAGAUCCAGGGGAUGCCGCCCGGCAUGGGCAUGAUGUUCCCGGGGCACCCGAUGCUGCCGAUGUUGCCGCCUCGCUUCCGGUGAUCAGCUCAGCAACAAGCGCAGGGGCUGCUUCCCCUGCUGCCACUG